GUAGAUAGACUCAAAAAAGUUUUAUAUUUUAAAGACUACAAAACUUUAUGAAAAUUUUCAGAGAAAAAUGCCUGGAUAGUCCAUGUGGUUUGGCCUUUUUUCACCUUUAGUCCCUAACUUUCUAAAAUUACAGCUAUAGUCCCCAACUUUUCAAUUUUCGUUCCCGGAUAAUCCCUAGCGUGGAUGAAGGUUAGUUUUUUCAGUUAAAUGUAUGUAAAAUUACCUAAAUGCCCUUACUAUUAAAAAAACAAAAGAAAAACAGUUAAUAUAAAUAAUUCAGGUGGUGACAUAUAUUUUAUUAAUUAAAAACCUAAAAUAGGUAACCAUUGUCAUCUCCAUAACUCCACCGCCACCCCUCAACCACCGCCUCCACCCUCCACCUCCUCCAAUCACCGGACAUUUUUCUCUUUCAUUUAUUUCACAUGACAAUUUCAUCCUUCAAAUAAUAAUCUCUCUGACACACACUACUUCAUAGCUCCCCAUUGUCUCUGGUGUCUACAUUUUCUCCUUUUUCCAGUAAUGACCAUGGUAACCUAUUGUUUUCAACAUUUUUAUCAUCUGGGUUUUGCUUAUUUUUUUGUGAAUUUUGCUUAAUUUAUUUUGGGUUUUGUAUAAUUUUCGUAGAAGAAGAACCAAAUCCACAAUGAGAACGACGGCGGUAACGGCGGUGGUGGGGGCGGUGACGGUGGAAAGAAGCAAAAACCUUCGGAUAUUAAUGUGGUGGUUCUGAAAAUUGACCUGUACUGUGAAGGUUGUGCUAGUAGAGUAGUUGCCUGUUGUUGUUCCUGUUCGUACACUCGAUGGUGUUGAGUCUGUGAGGAUCGGUGACAGUGAGUUGAACAAACACACGUUGAUCGGUAAUUUGGCUCCGGUCAAACUCUGACAAAAAGUUGAGGAGAAAACUCCACUGGAAUUUGGUGUUUUGGAAUUUGCAGAUGAUCAUGUUCAUAGGUGUUUGAAUAACGUGGAUUCUUAUCUUGAAUUAUUAUUCUGAAUGUUUUGUGAUAGAUGAUGAUGUUCAUGU
rnacentral:lncRNA from 1 species